CUGGCUCAGAUUGAACGCUGCGGCAGGCCUAACACAUGCAAGUCGAACGGUAACAGGGAAGCAGCUUGCUGCUUCGCUGACGAGUGGCGGACGGGUGGAGUAAUGUCUGGGAAACUGCCUGAUGGAGGGGGGAUAACUACUGGAAACGGUAGCUAAUACCGCAUAACGUCGCAAGACCAAAGAGGGGGACCUUCGGGCCUCUUGCCAUCAGAUGUGCCCAGAUGGGAUUAGCUAGUUGGUGGGGUAACGGCUCACCAAGGCGACGAUCCCUAGCUGGUCUGAGAGGAUGACCAGCCACACUGGAACUGAGACACGGUCCAGACUCCUACGGGAGGCAGCAGUGGGGAAUAUUGCACAAUGGGCGCAAGCCUGAUGCAGCCAUGCCGCGUGUAUGAAGAAGGCCUUCGGGUUGUAAAGUACUUCAGCGGGGAGGAAGGUGUUGUGGUUAAUAACCGCAGCAAUUGACGUUACCCGCAGAAGAAGCACCGGCUAACUCCGUGCCAGCCGCCGC
rnacentral:rRNA from 1 species